ensembl:lncRNA
GCCACCUCAAUGUGACCUGAUGAGUGGUGCCGUGUUCGCACCCAGGAUCCCAACAGGCAAAACCCUGAGCCGCCACAGUGGAGCGCUCGAACUUAGCCACUCGGCCACGGGGCCAGCCCCCAUUUAAAAAUUUUAAAUCCACACAAUAUGACUAUUUUGAGUUGACUUUUUCCAUGUUAUACAAGCAGUAUAUUAUAAAUUCACCUACCCAUGACUGUGGUUCUACUAUUUUCUUUUUUCCAUGUUCUGUUCUAGUCUUUGCAGUAACUACAUAUUUCAUUUCUUUUUUUUGUUUUUGGGGUUUUUUUGUGUGUGAGGAAAAUUGGUCCUGGGCUAACGUCUGUUGUCAAUCUUCCUCUUUUUGCUUGAGGAAGAUUGUCGCUGAGCUAACAUCUGUGCCAGUCUUCCUCUAUUUUCUGUGAGAUGCCACCACAGCGUGGCUUGAAUAGUGGUGCUAGGUCUGCGCCCAGGAUCCAAACCUGCGAACCCCAGGGCACUGAAGUGGAGUGUGUGAACUUAACCACUACACCACCAGGCCAGCCCCUUUAAUUUCUAAUUAUGAAAUUAUAUAGAAUUUAAAUUUCCUGUGUCAUAAUUUUUAGAUGGAUUUGGUCAAAAGGAAAUCAAUAAUUAGACUGCCAAAUUAGUCAUAGUUCACAUUAAUUUAGCACUCACUUUUCUUUAACUCAUUUAAUAGUCACAAUAACUCAAUCAGGAAGUUAUAUCUUACAGAUGAGAAGACUAGGCAUUCUGGAAGUUAGGAAACAAUCCGUGGUCACCCUCACACAUAAGGAAUGUGUCAUUACAGUACUGGAGAAAGUUAAAGCAAAGGGGGGCAGUUUAUCUGGUGCCCGUACAGAAAGAAAACAUUCAACAGGGAAAGCAGGAGCAUUUCCAAAUCAGAGAUAAAUGAGAUUGCCAACUGCCAAUUGGACUGCUCUUCUUAAAGUGAGUGAGUGCUAGGAAAAUUAUUUAAGGAGCAUUCAAACAACUUUGGCUGUACGCUUUGGCAAUAGCUCCUUGAGAAAAAUCUGCAGCCAGCAGAAAAUCUGGAUACCAUAGAGACAACACCAUUGAGAUUUCUACAUGUGUUUGGAGAAAAGAGUCCUUACCACGAAUCCUGUGACCUGUGCUUUUGGGGUCUUCAAAGCCAAUAAAAAUAAGUAGAUGAAAGAAGGAAAAGGAAUAUAAAGAACAGGGUGGUUAUUAUUGGCUUUGUAGAUAGUAGAGAUGCCUGUUACCCAUUUCUGGGAUUUUAUUGCUAGAAUCUUGUACUCUUGGUAAUAUCUCCCAUAUCCAUGAACCAAGGUGGAGUGUUGGACUAAGCACAGUCUGAUUUGCAGGCAUUAUUAUAAGCAUAUUGAUAACGCGAUAAUGCUGCCAUUUAUUGAAUGCCUGGCAUGCAACUUUGGCAUUCCCAGUGAAACCCCAUGGUCUAUGGCAGCCUGGUCUACCCUGACUGCGGGAGGAAACUUGAGGAAUCAUGGUGCCAAAACAGGCUAUGCCUUGGUUUGCCCUCCCCCUGUGUGAAAGAGGGAGUCCCCUCCUCCUCCCCCCAACCCCCGCCAACCUUGCAGAACUUUCUGUCAAACAGAGCAGAGUUCAUGUGUAGGAGCCACUGAUUUACUUGAUGACACAAAACUGCUGGUACAAGCAGAUGAGAAACAUGUUUUGGAAAGAUAGAGAGGCUGUUCCGGGCAUUGCCUCUGCAAAGCCGCUGAGCUAACACCACGUUGGGGCUUGCUUCCUUGCUCGGUACCUCCUGAGAAGCCCUCCUGGCACUGAGGAAGAGCCAAGCAUCUUAGGGAGGGCAGUGGCUAGGGCAGGCCAGCCGUCCCUAGGGCACUUUUUGCUAUGAUAGUUGCAGAUUGUUUCUCAGCCAAGACACUUACACGGCCCCUGUGACUUAGUGCUUGUGUGUGCCCUUUCUUUUUUUUCUGAGGAACAUUAGCCCUGAGCUAACAUCUGCUGCCAACUCUUCUCUUUUUGCUGAGGAAGACUGGCCCUGAGCUCACGUCCUUGCCUAUCUUCCUCUACUUUCUGUGUGGGACGCCUACCACGGCAUGGUUUGCCAAGCGCUGCCAUGUCUGCACCCGGGAUCCAAACCAGCGAACUGCCAAAGUGGAAUGUGCGCACUUAACCGCUGUGCCACUGGGUGGCCCCUUGUGUGUGCCCUUUAUUGAGGAUCUGGCUAGAACAGACAGUGAGAACCUGGCUUUAUCUGGUACUGGGAUUCUGUUUCCGGAUUUAGGUCACGUGCAUUUCCUGGGCCUACGUUUCUCUAGCCUCACACUGGGGCUGACGGAGUUUUUGAAUCCUGAGCUUGGGAAGAAAUGAUUUCAAGAUCCAGGCUCCAGGUUGAGGGAGCCCAAUGCAGUGGACACUUGUGGGUAUCUCUGGAGCCAUACCCUCCUCCCUCUUCCCCUUCCCAGCAGACCCAGAUUUCUGGUGGAGACGAAGCGAAUUCAGUCCUCCAGGAUGAACAUGUGAACACGUAUGGUCUAAUCAGAAUGAAUCUCAGGACUUUUGCUGGGAAUUCUGGGGCAAAGAAUUUUCUGCUGUAGGAUUAUCACCAUAACCCAAAGGGAAGCAUGCAGCCCUGGGUAUCCAUCUAGGGGGCCCAAGCCUUUACCAAGGACGCUGCUAACAAUGAGGAAGACAGUGCAGAGCCAAGGAAAGAAACGGGUCCUUGUAACAUCACUGAGCUGCUGGAGGAAGCCUCCAGGUGGACUUUUCUGUUACCUGGGCCGAGACAUUUCUUUGAUUGUUUAAGCCAGUUUGAGUUGGGUUUUCUGUUUGUAAAACAUCCUAACCGGUACUCUUGGGAUGCCAGUCACUACUUUGAUCUGAGCUGUUGCCCCUGAUAUUGAGGGAGGCAACUUGGGAAUCAUGGCCUAGGCCCGUCUAAGAAUUCUAGAACCCCUGGGCUGUGGGCUCCAGGGAGGAGGCAGCCCCAAUAGUUCUGGGAGAGGUGAACCCCUCCUUCCCAGAGGUGAGGGGACCUAAGUUCCCUGUCCUGGGGGAAUUUACCAUGAGUCAUGUCCCUGCGAAUGUGAUUCAUCCACUGGGCUUAAAAGGCUAAUUCGCUAGAGAGUGGAAAUCAGUUCCUCUGGAACAACAGAGGUCUAGAUACCCUGUAAAUAAUCACAAAUGUCCUGUUUCCCCAUCCUUCCCCAUCCUUCCCCAUCCCCACUUAGUAAUACCGGCAGCUCAAAACACUGCCUCCUCUUCCUGUUUUUGUUUUCUGUAGCUCCUUCCCUUUCAGUCUCACCAGAUGAUCCUGGGGAUGUGGCUUCCAGGUCCUAUCAGGCGCCUUUUCUCGUAUCAGCCUCGGGCAGCCAUGUGCCUGCCUGCCCCGCCCAGUGUGGGACUCUUUGACAUGAAGAUGGGGCCUCCCUUGCCCCAGAUUCUGCUUGGGUCUCUUUUGUUCCUUUCCCACCUAACUGAUCAACAAGGUUAAGUAUCUUCUGUGAAGGAUUAAAAAAAGGAGACUAGGAGAGCAAGAGCAUGAACUGAUUAAAAGUUAACACAAAACUACAAUAAUGAAAAUAGUUUGGUACUAUUUUCCAUAUAGUCCAAGAACAGACAUUGAAUUAUUGGAACUGAAUAGAAAGUCCUGAAAUAAACCCAAGUGAAUAUGAGAUAGAAGAAUUUACUAUGUUGGAAAACGGUAUUUCAAAUCACCGGGGGAAACAAUAAAUCAGUGGUUCUCAGCUGGGGGUGAUUUUGUCUCCCAGGGGAACUUGGCAAGGUUUGAAGGCAUUUUUGGUUGUCACAACUGGGGAAAGGCUACUGGAAUUUGAUAGAAGUCAGGAAUGCUGUUAAACAUCCCACAAUGUGCAGGACAGCCCCCACAACAAAGCAUUAUCUGGCCCCGAAUAUCAAUAGUGCCACUGUUGAGAAACGCUGGGAUAAAUGAGAUUGUUGGAACAGUUGGCUAAACGUUCAGGAAAAGAAAAGUGAAGUUAGAUUCUGAGUCAAACCACAACAAAAAUAAUUUUAAGUUACGUAAAAAAUAAAUUGUAAUAAGUACAAUCUUUGAUGAAGUUUAGAAGAAAACACAGCUAAAUUUUUAUCCUCAUGAUGUAAAGACUUUUUUAACCACACAAAUAAAUCAGAAAUGAUAAAGGAAAUACUACAGACAACCCCGUAAUCAUGAGAAACACCAUGAAGACAAUAUAAAAAACACCAACGAGUUGCAACAUGUGUGACAAAAGAUUAAUAUUCUUUUUUUUCCACAUUGGGAGAAUUUUAUUAGCAUUGAAAGAAUUAAUCAAACAUCAAUUUACAAUGAUUUUUUCCAGCUUUAUUGAGGUAUGAUUGACAAAUAAAAAAUUGUAUAUAUUAAAGGUGUACAAAGUGGUGUUUUGAUAUAAGUAUACCUUGUAUAAUGAUUACCACAAUAAGCUAAUUAACAUAUACAGCACCUCCCGUGGUUACCAUUUGUGUGUAUGUGUGAUGAGAACACUUAAGAUCUACUACCUUAGCAAAUUUCAAGUCUACAAUCCAUUAUUAACUAUACCUAUCAUACUGCAUAUUAGUUCUCUAGAAAUUAUUCAUCUUAUAACUAAAAGUUUGAACCUAUGACUAACAUCGCCUCAUUACCCCUACCCCACCUCUCCCCGACCCUGGAAAACACCACUUCUUGUUUCUGUUCCUCUACGUUUGACUUUUUGAGAUUCUACAUUUAACAGAUAUCAUGUAAUAUUUGUCUUUCUGUGUUUGGCCUAACUCAUCUAGUUAUGUCCUUUGAGUUCAUCCAUGUUGUUGCAAAUGGCAG